rnacentral:rRNA from 1 species
GCGAUUCGCCCUUCGGGGUGCCCAGGCGCGAAAACUUUACAAUGCGGGAAACCGUGAUAAGGGAACUCCGAGUGCCCGUAAAAUCGGGCUGUCCAUCUGUUUAAAUAACAGGUGAAGAAAGGGCCGGGCAAGACCGGUGCCAGCCGCCGCGGUAAUACCGGCGGCUCGAGUGGUGGCCACUAUUACUGGGCUUAAAGCGUUCGUAGCUGGUCUGUUAAGUCUCUGGGGAAAUCUACUGGCUUAACCAAUAGGCUUUUCAGGGAUACUGGCAGACUAGGGACCGGGAGAGGUGAGGGGUACUCCAGGGGUAGGAGUGAAAUCCUGUAAUCCUUGGGGGACCACCUGUGGCGAAGGCGCCUCACCAGAACGGCUCCGACAGUGAGGGACGAAAGCUGGGGGAGCAAACCGGAUUAGAUACCCGGGUAGUCCCAGCCGUAAACGAUGCGCGUUAGGUGUAUCGGUGACCACGAGUCACCGAGGUGCCGAAGAGAAAUCGUGAAACGUGCCGCCUGGGAAGUACGGUCGCAAGGCUGAAACUUAAAGGAAUUGGCGGGGGAGCAC